rnacentral:misc_RNA from 1 species
GAUGAAGAACGCAGCGAAACGCGAUAUGUAAUGUGAAUUGCUGAAUUCAGUGAAUCAUCGAAUCUUUGAACGCACAUGGCGCCUUCCAGUAUCCUGGGAGGCAUGCCUGUCCGAGCGUCGUUUCAACCCUCGAGCCCCCGUGGCCCGGCGUUGGGGAUCUGCCCAGGCAGUCCCCGAAAACCAGUGGCGGACCCGUUACAGGCCCUUCCCUUGCGUAGUAGCAUUCGCCUCGCAUCGGGAGCCGGCGGGCUUCCAGCCUCUAAACCCCCAUCAAGUCCGCCCCGGCGGCACCAAGGUUGACCUCGGAUCAGGUAGGAAUACCCGCUGAACUUAAGCAUAUCAAUAAGCGGAGGA